UUGUCUUUUAAAUAAAGACUAGUAUGAACGGCUAAAUGAGGACAGAUCUGUCUCUUACAAUUGACCAGUGAAACUGAUCUUCAAGUCCAAAAGCUUGAAUGAACACAUAAGACGAGAAGACCCUGUGGAGCUUCAAACCCACACUAUAAUUAACCAAAUAGCACCGGUUUUAAGUUGGGGCGACUUCGGAAUAUAACCUAACUUCCGAGCACAGGGCCAUCACACCCUCACCAAGACCGACAGGUCAAAGAAAAAUCCGACCCAGUCACACUGACCAACGAACCAAGUUACCCCAGGGAUAACAGCGCUAUCUUCUUCAAGAGUCCCUAUCGACAAGAAGGUUUACGACCUCGAUGUUGGAUCAGGACACCCAAAUGGUGCAGCAACUAUUAAAGGUUCGUUUGUUCAACGAUU
rnacentral:rRNA from 1 species